GGGAGGAGCCAGCACUCAGGGCCUCCUCGAUGUCCACGUUGAGCUGGUCGAGUUUUUUCAUCAGCUGGGACAUGGACUCACACCACAGAGACUAGAAAAGAGAGGAUGAUGUUCACGGCCAUGACAGCUGCAGACAUCUGGAAACACUAGCAAGGAGACUAGGAUUGCAGCACACGUUUAUGAUCCACCGGAGCCCCGACUAAAUAGUUUAAAGACUUCAAGGUGCUGUAGCUGUGUUCUCUGGUCUAUUCCUGGACGAUGGGAAAGGACACUUCAGUCUGCCUGCUGACCACACAGUGUCCUCCCGGGGUCAGCGUGGGGUCAUCAAGUGAGUGGGGCCUGUCUGACCUUGCACCAUUUGAAAAGUGGAUUUUUCCAAUCCCAAGAGAUAAAAAUAAGAAGAGAGAAAAGGCAAAACAUGCGAUAUCACCACGUCAAUGAUUCAACGUGCGCAGCCACAGCCAAGCCACCCAAUCGUCAUGAAUAGGAGUACAUUCCUCCAACACCAACGCCCCACCGUCUUGACAAUGUUCAAACCCAAUUGAUCUAAACGAAAUGGGGGCAUUAAUAAAUAAAAAAAAAAUUGGAAAGCAUCAGAGGUUGUUCAAACCAAAUAAUGGAUGUUCAAUUAUGCCAUGACUUACAUGUGUUUAUUGAUAAAAAAAUGAAAAGCUGCUUUCUUUUUUCUCAUUUGUGUAUCUUUAAGUGAAGUUAUUUGGAAGUCGGACCUGUUGCUUUGUGAGAAUAAAACUAAAAAGAGGCAUGAUAAUUCUUCAUACGAGAAUAGACAUACAUUGAAGACCUAGCAAUUUGUUGGGUUGUCAGUCCCAUAACAUUUCAGACUCCCACGUCUCUUAUCUAUCUAAAAAUCGAAUCACUGUUUUAACUUGACAAAUGUUCUAGCCAGAACCGAGAUAACGCCCUCGCUCAUUCAGAAAAAAAUCUGAAAUGCUGUAAAAUCAC
ensembl:lncRNA